GAUCUCAACUGAAAACCGGAGCACAUCGAAGGCCGUGGAGGUUACGGGGAGGGAGGGCGGCGGCGACAGAGGAGCCUCCUCACUCAUCUAAAGAAGGAAAGAAAAUGACACUGGUAGUAAUUAUAAUGAUCUCAUCACGAGAGAUGUUCUUCAACAGAAUCUGAAAACAUGACCCUGAUGCUCUACUUUGCACUUGUGGAUUUUAAUGGGGCGACCAACAUGCUUUUAUCAGUGCGAAUGGUGCAGUUAUCUUCCAUAUAAUCCAACUUUUUACCUGGUGAAGAGAUGAAUUAAGCAGGUUGGACAGCUGCAGGAGGUCGUGGAAGCUCUUGGAUAAGUUCUUCAGCCUGUCUACCUGAGCCAUCAUUAACUUCAGCAUGCUGCAGAGGGAGGAUGUGUGGGAGGUACGAGAGGAUGAAUGGACAAACAGCUCAGCCAAUAGCAGCAGGUGGAGACAAGUUCCAGGGGGACAGGGACGAACUGGCAUCAGCAGUGACUCACUCCCUCUGUGAAUCGAUCUGUGGUCCUAUACAGUGACCGUGCAACCUGCAUUACAUCACCAGGUUUCACAACAAAACAGCCAUCGACUCACCAGCUCCGUGUCAUCCCAGAGUGGAGGAGCCCUGAUGCUGACACACUAGGACUCUGUUACCCUUUGUCACGUAGUCUGACAUUUUCUAGGAUGUGACCCACUGGUGCUGACCAGUAGACGCACAGAGAGCACAGACAUCUUCAGCACACAGCUGUAAACGUGUGACGUGAGAGAGGACAUCUAUUUCACUUCAGUGCAGCUGUGACCAUGUUUCCAUCAGGCUCAUGUCAGGAGCCUUAACGGUCACCCUCCCUCUACCAACGGACAGAUUCCAGCUCCAUGAUGAACGGCUCCAGGUCAUUCAUAAAGCAGUGUUGACAUACAAAACUCAUAAGACGGUGAGCUCAACGUAGACUCUGUCAUAACC